rnacentral:rRNA from 1 species
AACCAAGAAGAUUAAGUUAUGUAUUUUCGGUGAAAAGAUAGUUAAGCAAGAUAAGAAGUUUUUUAAAUUGUUAUUGAGAAGUAAAAUUCGUAAAUAACCUAGAAACUUAGUCAAAACUAAAAAGCUGAAGCUAUGACACCCUAGAGGGAAACUGGGAUUAGAUACCCCACUAUUCUUGGAUGUAAAAAGAUAUAAAUUUACCAGAGUACUAUGGAUUGAUAACAUUUAAAACUCAAAGAGCUUGGCGGUGUUUUAGACUCUUUAGGGGAACCUGUCUCAUAAUCGACAAUCCGCGUUGAACCUGACCUUUAUUUGUAUAGCAGUUUGUAUACCGUCGUCGUCAGGUAACUUUUUAGAAAAAAGAAGUUAGCAAUUGAGUUUAUAAUAAACUCUUACGUCAGAUCAAGGUGCAGCUAACAUAAGGGGGAGGAUGGGUUACAAUUAUAAAAAUUAUAAAUACGAAAUAACAGCUUUAAACAGCAGUCAUGAAGGAGGACUUAAAAGUAAAAUAAAAUAGAUAAACAUAUUGAAUUGAGCUCUGAAACGUGC